rnacentral:rRNA from 1 species
AUGAGUUAUGUCAUGUUAUCGAUAUGUGAAUACAUAGCAUAUCAGAAGGCACACCCGGAGAACUGAAACAUCUUAGUACCCGGAGGAAGAGAAAGAAAAUUCGAUUCCCUUAGUAGCGGCGAGCGAAACGGGAAGAGCCCAAACCAACAAGCUUGCUUGUUGGGGUUGUAGGACACUCUAUACGGAGUUACAAAGGACGACAUUAGACGAAUCAUCUGGAAAGAUGAAUCAAAGAAGGUAAUAAUCCUGUAGUCGAAAAUGUUGUCUCUCUUGAGUGGAUCCUGAGUACGACGGAGCACGUGAAAUUCCGUCGGAAUCUGGGAGGACCAUCUCCUAAGGCUAAAUACUCUCUAGUGACCGAUAGUGAACCAGUACCGUGAGGGAAAGGUGAAAAGCACCCCGGAAGGGGAGUGAAAUAGAACCUGAAACCGUGUGCUUACAAGUAGUCAGAGCCCGUUAAUGGGUGAUGGCGUGCCUUUUGUAGAAUGAACCGGCGAGUUACGAUUUGAUGCAAGGUUAAGCAGUAAAUGUGGAGCCGUAGCGAAAGCGAGUCUGAAUAGGGCGUUUAGUAUUUGGUCGUAGACCCGAAACCAGGUGAUCUACCCUUGGUCAGGUUGAAGUUCAGGUAACACUGAAUGGAGGACCGAACCGACUUACGUUGAAAAGUGAGCGGAUGAACUGAGGGUAGCGGAGAAAUUCCAAUCGAACCUGGAGAUAGCUGGUUCUCUCCGAAAUAGCUUUAGGGCUAGCCUCAAGUGAUGAUUAUUGGAGGUAGAGCACUGUUUGGACGAGGGGCCCCUCUCGGGUUACCGAAUUCAGACAAACUCCGAAUGCCAAUUAAUUUAACUUGGGAGUCAGAACAUGGGUGAUAAGGUCCGUGUUCGAAAGGGAAACAGCCCAGACCACCAGCUAAGGUCCCAAAAUAUAUGUUAAGUGGAAAAGGAUGUGG